rnacentral:rRNA from 1 species
UAGAGUUUGAUCAUGGCUCAGGAUGAACGCUGGCGGCGUGCCUAAUACAUGCAAGUCGAGCGAACCACUUCGGUGGUGAGCGGCGAACGGGUGAGUAACACGUAGGUGAUCUGCCCAUCAGACGGGGACAACGAUUGGAAACGAUCGCUAAUACCGGAUAGGACGAAAGUUUAAAGGUGCUUCUGGCACCGCUGAUGGAUGAGCCUGCGGCGCAUUAGCUAGUUGGUAGGGUAAAGGCCUACCAAGGCGACGAUGCGUAGCCGACCUGAGAGGGUGAACGGCCACACUGGGACUGAGACACGGCCCAGACUCCUACGGGACGCAGCA